UACGUAGGGUGCGAGCGUUAAUCGGAUUUACUGGGCGUAAAGCGUGCGCAGGCGGCCCGUUAAGACAGGUGUGAAAUCCCUGGGCUCAACCUAGGAAUUGCGCUUGUGACUGGCGGGCUCGAGUACGGUAGAGGGGGGUGGAAUUCCAUGUGUAGCGGUGAAAUGCGUAGAGAUCAGGAGGAACACCGAUGGCGAAGGCAGCCCCCUGGGCCUGUACUGACGCUCAUGCACGAAAGCGUGGGGAGCAAACAGG
rnacentral:rRNA from 1 species